rnacentral:rRNA from 1 species
CAAUAGCGUAUAUUUAAGUUGUUGCAGUUAAAAAGCUCGUAGUCGGAUUUUGGCUGAGAACGAUCGGUCCGCCGUUAGGUGUGCACUGAUUGGUCUCAGCUUCCUGGUGAGGAGGUGUGCUUCACGGCAACUUAGUCACCGUGGUUACUUUGAAAAAAUUAGAGUGUUCAAAGCGGGCUUACGCUUGAAUAUAUUAGCAUGGAAUAACACCAUAGGACUCCUGUCCUAUUUCGUUGGUCUCGGGACGGGAGUAAUGAUUAAGAGGAACAGUUGGGGGCAUUCGUAUUUCAUUGUCAGAGGUGAAAUUCUUGGAUUUAUGAAAGACGAACUUCUGCGAAAGCAUUUGCCAAGGAUGUUUUCAUUGA